rnacentral:rRNA from 1 species
GACGAACGCUGGCGGCGUGCUUAACACAUGCAAGUCGAACGGAAAGGCCCUGCUUUUGUGGGGUGCUCGAGUGGCGAACGGGUGAGUAACACGUGAGUAACCUGCCCUUGACUUUGGGAUAACUUCAGGAAACUGGGGCUAAUACCGGAUAGGAGCUCCUGCUGCAUGUUGGGGGUUGGAAAGUUUCGGCGGUGGGGGAUGGACUCGCGGCUUAUCAGCUUGUUGGUGGGGUAGUGGCUUACCAAGGCUUUGACGGGUAGCCGGCCUGAGAGGGUGACCGGCCACAUUGGGACUGAGAUACGGCCCAGACUCCUACGGGAGGCAGCAGUGGGGAAUAUUGCACAAUGGGCGGAAGCCUGAUGCAGCAACGCCGCGUGCGGGAUGACGGCCUUCGGGUUGUAAACCGCUUUCGCCUGUGACGAAGCGUGAGUGACGGUAAUGGGUAAAGAAGCACCGGCUAACUACGUG